AUUGAACGCUGGCGGCAGGCCUAACACAUGCAAGUCGAGCGAGCGGCGGACGGGUGAGUAAUGUAUGGGGACUGCCCGAUAGAGGGGGAUAACUACUGGAAACGGUAGCUAAUACCGCAUACUAUCGGAUAACCCAUAUGGGAUUAGCUAGUCGGUGGGGUAAUGGCUCACCUAGGCGACGAUCCCUAGCUGGUCUGAGAGGAUGACCAGCCACACUUGAACUGAGACACGGCCCAGACUCCUACGGAGGCAGCAGUGGGGAAUAUUGCACAAUGGGCGCAAGCCUGAUGCAGCCAUGCCGCGUGUAUGAAGAAGGCCCUAGGGUUGUAAAGUACUUUCAGUCGGGAGGCGUUACCGGCAGAAGAAGCACCGGCUAACUCCGUGCCAGCAGCCGCGGUAAUUC
rnacentral:rRNA from 1 species